rnacentral:rRNA from 1 species
GAUGAACGCUGGCGGCGCGCCUAACACAUGCCAGUCGAACGAUUAAAGCACCUUCGGGUGUGUAUAAAGUGGCGAACGGCUGAGUAACACGUGGACAACCUGCCCCUUUCAUUGGGAUAGCCACGGGAAACCGUGGAUAAUACCGAAUACUUCGAGACUUCCGCAUGGAAGACUCGAGAAAGCUCCGGCGGAGAGGGAUGGGCCCGCGGCCUGUUAGCUUGUUGGUGGGGUAACGGCCUACCAAGGCAAUGAUGGGUAGCUGGGUUGAGAGACCGACCAGCCAGAUUGGGACUGAGACACGGCCCAGACUCCUACGGGAGGCAGCAGUGGGGAAUCUUGCACAAUGGGCGAAAGCCUGAUGCAGCGACGCCGCGUGCGGGAUGAAGGCCUUCGGGUUGUAAACCGCUUUCAGCAGGGACGAGGCGAAAGUGACGGUACCUGCAGAAGAAGCCCCGGCUAACUACGUG